UACGAAGGGGGCUAGCGUUGUUCGGAAUCACUGGGCGUAAAGCGCACGUAGGCGGAUCUUUAAGUCAGGGGUGAAAUCCUGGAGCUCAACUCCAGAACUGCCUUUGAUACUGAAGAUCUUGAGUCCGGGAGAGGUGAGUGGAACUGCGAGUGUAGAGGUGAAAUUCGUAGAUAUUCGCAAGAACACCAGUCGGCGAAGGCGGCUCGACUGGCCC
rnacentral:rRNA from 1 species